rnacentral:lncRNA from 1 species
UGCGAUACGGGCACUGUAUUGGGCUCAUUAGUGAAUUUUGGAAUGUCGUUUAAGAACAGUUUUUCAACAGGGCAUCACUGCGCUGUUUACGGUUGUAGCAACAAUCAAAAGAAGAGGAAUGCUGCAAGAAAACAGCUGUGCGGCAAGCACAACGUGGUGCAGGAGGAGUGCGGCUGCAACAUUUAUUUGUUACAUAGGUUUCCAGCUGAUGCGGAUUUAAAGAGGCAGUGGAUCGCAGCAGUGAAUAGAAAAGAUUUCGUCCCUUCGUCAUCGUCACGCGUCUGUUCUAUGCAUUUUGUUGACGGUAAGCGCAGCGAUCAAAACCCCGUGCCUAUGCUUCGCCUCGGAUACGAGAGAAAGGUGCUUAAAGGACGACGACGUCUAGUAAAGUACGACAGUGAACAGCCAAAGAAAAAGAGGACUGCCGAGAACCUACCACCGACCUCGCUGGCAUGUAGCCUCCAUCUCGACACGGGGGAUACCAAUUUUCUGGAAGACGCUUCCG